CUUGGAGGUUGUGCCCUUGAGGCGUGGCUUCCGGAGCUAACGCGUUAAGUAGACCGCCUGGGGAGUACGGCCGCAAGGUUAAAACUCAAAUGAAUUGACGGGGGCCCGCACAAGCGGUGGAGCAUGUGGUUUAAUUCGAUGCAACGCGAAGAACCUUACCUGGUCUUGACAUCCACGGAAGUUUUCAGAGAUGAGAAUGUGCCUUCGGGAACCGUGAGACAGGUGCUGCAUGGCUGUCGUCAGCUCGUGUUGUGAAAUGUUGGGUUAAGUCCCGCAACGAGCGCAACCCUUAUCCUUUGUUGCCAGCGAUUAGGUCGGGAACUCAAAGGAGACUGCCAGUGAUAAACUGGAGGAAGGUGGGGAUGACGUCAAGUCAUCAUGGCCCUUACGACCAGGGCUACACACGUGCUACAAUGGCGCAUACAAAGAGAAGCGACCUCGCGAGAGCAAGCGGACCUCAUAAAGUGCGUCGUAGUCCGGAUUGGAGUCUGCAACUCGACUCCAUGAAGUCGGAAUCGCUAGUAAUCGUGGAUCAGAAUGCCACGGUGAAUACGUUCCCGGGCCUUGUACACACCGCCCGUCACACCAUGGGAGUGGGUUGCAAAAGAAGUAGGUAGCUUAACCUUCGGGAGGGCGCUUACCACUUUGUGAUUCAUGACUGGGGUGAAGUCGUAACAAGGUAACCGUAGGGGAACCUGCGGUUGGAUCACCUCCUUACCU
rnacentral:rRNA from 1 species